rnacentral:rRNA from 1 species
AUGUUGAUUGUACCGAACGAAGGAUUUGCCUUAUCACGAAAGCCACAUUCGUUUCGUCUGAGGAAGUCACACGUCAUGUUCCCUAUAAAUAAGGAGAUUCAUUCUUUUUUUCAGAAAUCCCCUCUUCUUCCUCCUCAAGCCCCUAUCACAAGACCAAGCGGAUCUCAUCCUGCAGAAGACUCAGAGCGGAUCUAUCUAAUGGCAUGGCUGGCUGCCAGAUGUGAUCUAUUCUCGUGUCACAUCGCUUUCUUUCUUCUCCCUCCAUUUUCUUCACUACUACCGCUUCUACACAUAAAUCAAAGAAGCAUUGUGGAAUAG